rnacentral:rRNA from 1 species
UACGAAGGGGGCUAGCGUUGCUCGGAAUCACUGGGCGUAAAGGGUGCGUAGGCGGGUCUUUAAGUCAGGGGUGAAAUCCUGGAGCUCAACUCCAGAACUGCCUUUGAUACUGAAGAUCUUGAGUUCGGGAGAGGUGAGUGGAACUGCGAGUGUAGAGGUGAAAUUCGUAGAUAUUGGGAAGAACACCAGUGGCGAAGGCGGCAUCCUGGCCCUGACCUGACGCUGAGGCGCGAGAGCGUGGGGAGCAAACUGG